rnacentral:rRNA from 1 species
AGUGAACGCUGGCGGUAGGCCUAACACAUGCAAGUCGAACGGCAGCACAGUAAGAGCUUGCUCUUACGGGUGGCGAGUGGCGGACGGGUGAGGAAUACAUCGGAAUCUACUUUUUCGUGGGGGCUAACGUAGGGAAACUUACGCUAAUACCGCAUACGACCUACGGGUGAAAGCAGGGGAUCUUCGGACCUUGCGCGAUUGAAUGAGCCGAUGUCGGAUUAGCUAGUUGGCGGGGUAAAGGCCUACCAAGGCGACGAUCCGUAGCGGGUCUGAGAGGAAGAUUACAUACAUGGGAAGUGAGAAACGGCCCAGACUCCGACGGGAGGCAGCUGUGGGGAAUAUUGGACAAGGGGCGAGAGCCUGAUCCAGCCAUACCGCGUGGGUGAUGAAGGAGCUCGGGUUGGAAAGUCAUUUUGUUGGGAAAGAAAAGCAGCAGGUUUAUACCCCGCUGUUCUGACGGUACCCAAAGAAUAAGCACCGGCUAACUUCGUG